CAGCAGCCGCGGGAAUACAGAGGGUGCGAGCGUUAAUCGGAUUUACUGGGCGUAAAGCGUGCGUAGGCGGCUUUUUAAGUCGGAUGUGAAAUCCCUGAGCUUAACUUAGGAAUUGCAUUCGAUACUGGGAAGCUAGAGUAUGGGAGAGGAUGGUAGAAUUCCAGGUGUAGCGGUGAAAUGCGUAGAGAUCUGGAGGAAUACCGAUGGCGAAGGCAGCCAUCUGGCCUAAUACUGACGCUGAGGUACGAAAGCAUGGGGAGCAAACAGGAUUAGAUACCCCGGUAGUCCCUGUAUCUUAUAA
rnacentral:rRNA from 1 species